rnacentral:tRNA from 1 species
GGAUAGAAGCCCACUGGUUUGGGUGUUUAGCUGUUAACUAAAAUUUUACGGGAUCGAGGCCCGUUUAUCCAG